rnacentral:rRNA from 1 species
GACGAACGCUGGCGGCGUGCUUAACACAUGCAAGUCGAACGGAAAGGCCCUGCUUUUGUGGGUUGCUCGAGUGGCGAACGGGUGAGUAACACGUGAGUAACCUGCCCUUGACUUUGGGAUAACUUCAGGAAACUGGGGCUAAUACCGGAUAGGAGCUCCUGCUGCAUGGUGGGGGUUGGAAAGUUUCGGCGGUUGGGGAUGGACUCGCGGCUUAUCAGCUUGUUGGUGGGGUAGUGGCUUACCAAGGCUUUGACGGGUAGCCGGCCUGAGAGGGUUACCGGCGUCAUUGGGACUGAGAGACGGACCAGACGCCUACGGGAGGCAGCAGUGGGGAAUAUUACACAAUGGGCGGAAGCCUGAUGCAGCAGCGCCGGGUGCGGGAUGACGGCCUUCGGGUUGUAAACCGCUUUCGCCUGUGACGAAGCGUGAGUGACGGUAAUGGGUAAAGAAGCACCGGCUAACUACGUG